GACGAACGCUGGCGGCGUGCCUAAUACAUGCAAGUAGGACGCAGUUGCGAACGGGUGAUUAACGCGUAGGUAACUGCCUAUUAGAGGGGGAUAACUAUUGGACACGAUCGCUAAUACCGCAUACUAGUAGAUGGACCUGCGUUGGAUUAGCUAGUAGGUAGGGUAAUGGCUUACCUAGGCAACGAUACAUAGCCGACCUGAGAGGUUGAUCGGCCAAACUGGGACUGAGACACGGCCCAGACUCCUACGGGAGGCAGCAGUAGGGAAUCUUCGGCAAGGGGGGGAACCCUUACCGAGCAACGCCGCGUGAGUGAAGAAGGUUUUCGGAUCGUAAAGCUCUGUUGUUAAGGAAGCGGUACUUAACCAGAAAGGGACUGCUAACUACGUGCCAGCAGCCGCGGUAAUAC
rnacentral:rRNA from 1 species